rnacentral:rRNA from 1 species
ACGGUAACAGGGAGCUUGCUCCGCUGACGAGUGGCGAACGGGUGAGUAAUGCAUCGGAACGUACCGUGUAGUGGGGGAUAACGUAGCGAAAGUUACGCUAAUACCGCAUACGCCCUGAGGGGGAAAGUGGGGGACCGCAAGGCCUCACGCUAUAUGAGCGGCCGAUGUCGGAUUAGCUAGUUGGUAGGGUAAAGGCCUACCAAGGCGACGAUCCGUAGCGGGUCUGAGAGGAUGAUCCGCCACACUGGGACUGAGACACGGCCCAGACUCCUACGGGAGGCAGCAGUGGGGAAUUUUGGACAAUGGGCGCAAGCCUGAUCCAGCCAUGCCGCGUGAGUGAAGAAGGCCUUCGGGUUGUAAAGCUCUUUCAGACGGAAAGAAAUCUCUCGGGAUAACACCCUGGGAGGAUGACGGUACCGUAAGAAGAAGCACCGGCUAACUACGUGCCAGCAGCCGCGGUAAUACGUAGGGUGCGAGCGUUAAUCGGAAUUACUGGGCGUAAAGCGUGCGCAGGCGGUGAUGUAAGACAGAUGUGAAAUCCCCGGGCUCAACCUGGGAACUGCGUUUGUGACUGCAUCACUCGAGUACGGCAGAGGGAGGUGGAAUUCCGCGUGUAGCAGUGAAAUGCGUAGAUAUGCGGAGGAACACCGAUGGCGAAGGCAGCCUCCUGGGCCAGUACUGACGCUCAUGCACGAAAGCGUGGGGAGCAGACAGGAUUAGAUACCCUGGUAGUCCACGCCCUAAACGAUGUCAACUAGUUGUUCGGUGAGGAGACUCAUUGAGUAACGCAGCUAACGCGUGA